GUGCCCUCUUUGGCAGUAUAUAUACUAAGAAGUUGAAAUGAUACAGAGAUUUUCAUGGACCCUGUGCAAGGGUGACAUUCAAAUUUGUGAAGCAUCAAAAAAAAAA
rnacentral:snRNA from 1 species